rnacentral:rRNA from 1 species
GACGAACGCUGGCGGCGUGCCUAAUACAUGCAAGUCGAACGCAGGGGGGACUGGUGAGUAACACGUUGGUAACCUCCCAUCAGAGGGGAUAACACUUGGAAACAGGUGCUAAACCGAUACUGAUGGAUGGACCCGCGGUGCAUUAGCGAGUGGGUGAGGUAACGGCUUACCAAGGCGACGAUGCGUAGCCGACCUGAUAGGGGGAUCAGCCACACGGGGAAUGAGACACGGCCCAGAGUCCUACGGGAGGCAGCAGUAGGGAAUCUUGGGCAAUGGACGAAAGUCUGACCGAGAAACGCAGCGUGAGUGAAGAAGGUUUUCGGAUCGUAAAACUCUGUUGUUAGAGAAGCGGUAUCUAACCAGAAAGCCCCGGCUAACUACGUGCGAGCAGCCGCGGUAAUAC